UUUUAUGGAGAGUUUGAUCCUGGCUCAGGAUGAACGCUGGCGGCGUGCCUAAUACAUGCAAGUCGAGCGAACAGAUAAGGAGCUUGCUCCUUUGACGUUAGCGGCGGACGGGUGAGUAACACGUGGGUAACCUACCUAUAAGACUGGAAUAACUCCGGGAAACCGGGGC
rnacentral:rRNA from 1 species